UAUGUGUAGCCCCAGCUCAUUGAGAGCACC
rnacentral:sRNA from 1 species